GACGAACGCUGGCGGCGUGCUUAAUACAUGCAAGUCGAACGGACAGGCCCUGCUCUUGUGGGGUGCUCGAGUGGCGAACGGGUGAGUAACACGUGAGUAUCAUGCCCUUGACUUUGGGAUAACUUCAGGAAACUGGGGCUAAUACCGGAUAGGAGCUCCUGCUGCACGGUGGGGGUUGGAAAGUGUCGGCGGUUGUGGAUGGACUCGCGGCUUAUCAGCUUGUUGGUGGGGUAGUGGCUUACCAAGGCUUUGACGGGUAGCCGGCCUGAGAGGGUGACCGGCCACAAUGGGACUGAGAUACGGCCCAGACGCCUACGGGAGGCAGCAGUGGGGAAUAUUGCACAAUGGGCGGAAGCCUGAUGCAGCAACGCCGCGUGCGGGAUGACGGCCUUCGGGUUGUAAACCGCUUUCGCCUGUGACGAAGCGUGAGUGACGGUAAUGGGUAAAGAAGCACCGGCUAACUACGUG
rnacentral:rRNA from 1 species